AAGUCGUAACAAGGUUUCCGUAGGUGAACCUGCGGAAGGAUCAUUAUUAAUUCUUCUAGUUAAGCGGCUGCGCGUUUUUUUUAAACCGCGCGGCUGUUUUUCUUGUGAACUGGGGCCUGCUUUUGAAGUUUACGCUUUUCUGGCAGGCCUGUCGUUAAUGCUCUUGUGUUAAUUUUUUUUUGUUUUUGCUUUUUUUAAGCUUGACCGCUUAAGAAAAAUAAUUACAAGACAACUUUCAGCAAUGGAUCUCUUGGCUCUU
rnacentral:misc_RNA from 1 species